AGAACGAACGCUGGCGGCAUGCCUAAUACAUGCAAGUCGAACGAACUCUUCGGAGUUAGUGGCGCACGGGUGCGUAACGCGUGGGAAUCUGCCCCUUGGUUCGGAAUAACAGUUGGAAACGACUGCUAAUACCGGAUGAUGACGAAAGUCCAAAGAUUUAUCGCCAAGGGAUGAGCCCGCGUAGGAUUAGCUAGUUGGUGAGGUAAGGCUCACCAAGGCAACG
rnacentral:rRNA from 1 species